rnacentral:lncRNA from 1 species
CAGCUACACCGCCUCACAGAGAACCAAUCAGGAUCUGGAGGAGAAGCUGCACACGCUGGUAUUUAACCCAUUCCUUUUAUUUUAUUUUUAAUGUUGAUAGUAGAAUUGUGCAGUCAUGUUGAUCUCUAGACUGGAGCCACGAGCCAACCAUCUUAUUAUUUCACUUGGUGACUAAGUAGACAGCCUACAGCGUAUAUCAACGUUUUACACCUUCCUGCCCUAAAGUAAAGAUUGGACUCCACCAACUGCUGUUUGAAAGUGGUGGAAACUGGAAUUGUCAGUGGUGGUGGUCAUAACCUGUUGCUUUAAGAAAUAUACAUGGCUGCAAGCCAUCCAACACUGAGUCUGGAUAUAUAAAAAUAACAGUAUACUAAAGCUUUUCAUAUCACACAGUAACUUUUACAUCUUUACGAUUCAUUAAAGAAAUCCUGUAAAGUGUCACAAACAAUAAGUUAUAACACAUACAGGUGAGAGCCACUGCUGCACUCCCACGCAGACCCACUGCUGCACUCCCACGCAGACCCACUGUACAGUACCCCUCAUGUACAUGUUUAUGGUGUUUUCAAAAGUUACAGAGUCAACUAUAAAGCUUGCGUUUCAGUUUUUUCACAUUGAAAUUCGCCAGAUUGUUGUCCAAGAUUGGCAUUCAAAUUAGUUUUUUGCAUUUUUCACACACAAACAAAUAUUAAUGCUAACUUUGGCCAGUGUUUGUGAUUAAGUGGCUACUAAGAAGACUAGACCUAACCCAUUUGCAAUACCUUGGUUUGUCUAAUAUUGCAAAUGGUAUGCCGUCAUGGGGGUAAUUCUCAUUCCUGAGCUACCAUAGGGUCUCCAAGGCAACGUAACCAAUCUGGCGAAUUUCCAUGUGAGAAAAAUGUAACGUGCUAUAUUUGACCCUGUAACUUCCCAAAACACCAUAAAACCUGUACAUAGGGGGUACUGUUUUACACGUGAGACAUCGCUGAAUACAAAUAUGUAUUUUAUUGCAGUAAAAGCAAACCGUAUUAUGACAUUCACAGUUAGAAUGUCACGUAGAACUUUAAAAAAUGUAAGUCUUAUUUUUUUUCAUAUUUUAUUCAUAUUAAAUUGUUUCAUACCUAAAUAUUUGAUGUUAAAUGAAAGCCCUGUUUCCCCUGAAUAAAAUGAUAUAUAAUAAGUGUGGGUGCACGGUUGAACAGACAUAUAGUCAAAUUCCAGAUUUUGUUUACGUUUUGUUUCGAUCACAAUGUGUACAUUUGGCUCAGUCCUUAAAGGGACACUCCAGGCACCCAGACCAUUUCUGCCCAUUGGAGUGGUCUGGGUGCCAACUCCCACUACCCUCAUGGCCGGUGCAUGGAUUUUUGCCGCCCUAGGCAAAAAUAAAAUUUGCCGCCCCCCCCCCAUAUGUCCUGCCCACCAUGUGACAUCACAAUGCCCCGCCCAUAUGCUCUGCCAUAUGGGCCAACGCCAGUCUUCACAAAGUGUCUUUUAUCUGAAAAGACAGUGUUUAAAUUAAAAAGCCUACAGGCACAGGCUAUAGACACCAGAACCACUACAUUAAGCUGUAGUGCUUCUGGUGACUAUAGUAUCCAUUUAAUGUGAGGUAAAUUAGAGAUUAGUGCCACUAAUAAUAUAUUGGAUUGCCUACUUACCACCAGAUGAGGACAAGAGGCUGAUUAUGGGCUCAGUCUGGCUCCACAGGUCUGGUGUAGAAGAGGCUCUCAGGAGACUGUUUUUAACAGUGCUCACAACAAUUAUCGAUCAGGAAGCAGCUCCAUUUUUUAGGGCCCCUUACACAGCUCAAGGUCUGGGGCCCCGGGGCUUGACCGUGAGUAUGCCUACAAUGCCCACCCACGAGUUCUCUCACAGGUAGUGGAGUGUAUGUGUGGAGGGGAUGUUUUAUGUGUUAUUGUAGAGGAUGCAAUGUGUGUGUGUUCUUAUAGAAUGUAGUGUAUAGGGAUACCAAUUUCUGUAAGGGAUGUAGUUUGCGUGUAAGGAAUGCAUUGUAUGUUUCUGGGUGGGUGUGUGUGUGUCUCUAAGGGGUGCAAGGUGUGUUUCUGUGUAUUUAAUUGAAUGCAGUGUGUGUCUGUAAGGGGUGCAUUGAUUGUGUAAGAGAUGCAUUUUGUGUGUAAGAGAAUGAGUGUUUGUGUGAACGUAAGGGAUGCAUCGGGUGUGUCUGAGUAGGGAUGCAUUGUGUGUUUCUGUGUGUGUGUGUGUUUGGGGGGGGGUGUAUUGUGUAUGUGUGUAGUGUAAAAGAGCGGGUUUGUGGGGUAGGAUAGAGACUGAGAGGGGAGCAGCUCUUUAUUUUUUUCUAUUUUUUUUCAUAGUGCUCUCCCCCCUGUCAAUUUAUUGAUUUCCCCUUCCCUCCUGUCCCUCCGUGUUCUCCCCUUCUGUCCCUUAGUGCUCUCCCUUGGCCCCCUGUAGUCCCCCCUUGGUGGUCUUCUCACUCCUCCCUUCCCCCUUAGUGGCCCUCCCUCUCCCAAACCCGUUAGUAGACAUUCCCCUCCUCCCCCACCCCCUUAGUGGUAAUCUCCCCCCCCCACACGCUGUGUGAGGACCUCAAGCGUCGCUCAAUUUUCAAUGCUUUCCUAUGUGAAGCUCUAAUGCGCAUGCGGGUGUCUCAGGUAAGUGACUGAAGGGGUUUUCUCCCCUUCAGCAACCGGAGGUGGGAGGGAGAGGGGACCUGCAGUGCCAGGAAAACGGAUUGUUUUCCUGGCACUGGAGUUUCCCUUUAAGGGGUUAAUAUAUUGUUAUUGUUUUGUAUGUUUUAUGUUAUGUUUGUUUGUUUUUUUUCCUCUGUGGAUUACUGUCAGUAUGUCUGUGUAGCGGAGAGCUGGUAUUCCACAGGUUAUCUCCACUUAAGAUCCCAGUGAGGCUCAAGAACAAGUAUUAGAAAUCCAUAAGGCAAUAAUUACAGCAGGCAAGACAAUCCAAUAAUAUCCCAACAUCGAUCCCAAUGACCGGACGACACACAGCAUCAGGAGCAGAACUGAACUUUUAAUCACUCAACCUUCUUUUAAAGCUUUCUCCCAUGCAAGGGAGGGAUUUACAGUAAUUAUACAAUACACAAAUCAUAUAUGAGUAGCCGCCCACACAUCUCCUCCCCUAGUAUGACUCAUAAUCCCAUUAUGCAGGACACAUUUCCCCUGAUUUUCUGGAUGUACCCUUAAACAUAGGGGUACUACUUUAAAUAUUACAUCUCCUGGUAGCCCUGAUCUGGGUGAGAAACAUAUUCAAAAAUCACCUAGAUCGGACCAGGGGUUCGGGAAAUUCCUGGAGGUAAUAAAGACAGACCAUGCUGGGGUUAACAGCCGAAAUGGGUUCCAUACGUUUUGGCCCUGUGGUUGGUCACAGAAAAAGGGAACAAAAUGCCCGAACGACUUGGGUUAUGGAGACUGGUGAGGAUUCGGAUAAACCCCCUUGUUCGUGGGGUUCUUUCUACCGAACGGGGAGCCGUUCGGUAGUUUCUACACGAAGGGACGGCAGUGUGGAGGUCUAAGCGGUGUUUGCCUAGCCGAGUGUCAGAUUUGGGUUCCAGACACUCAACGGCAAAACACAGCUGUUCGGGAUUUAAGAUGGCCGCCGCCACGUGUUCGACCCCCGAAUGGCGGCCACCCAGAGGACAAAGCACACACUGCACUGACUGCCAAUUACUCGUUUGCGACAUUGUUGCGAACGGUAAUUGGAGGCACACUUAAUCCUGAGGUGGUCUGAUUGUUAGGUAGUUUCACUAGCAUAAUAACUGGAGUGAUUUUACCGAACAAUCAGUCGAAUGCUGCAUACACUUUACAUACAUAUGGCAAAAAUUAACGGAAAACAUCCGAAUACACAUAAUUCUGAGGACAGCCCAAUGUCAUUCGCUACAGUCUGUGUUUCCAGAUCUAUACUGUUAUGGGAGCUUUGUCUAUAGACAUUUUUACACAUUUUACACAUCUUUGGUCUCGCACUAUUUUACUGUUCUGUUAGGCUGUCGUUCCUCGUUGGCUUGUAAUGGUUGGUUUAUACAGGAUAGAAUUGUACAUUAGAUGUUUACAGACAAUGUGUACAUUAACCUUUUCAAAACUUGGUACAAACUUUUUUGUUUACAUUUUUUUUUUUCAGUAUAGAAAUGUAGCCAACAUAUCCUCUCACCCUCAUUUAUACUCUAUUUAUAAUCACCAGUCUGUAGAGCAACACAUUUAUCUUCUAGAAGUCACUGAUUGAAUGCUCUCACCCCCUGCUUUCAAACAUUAAAGGAAGUUUCAGUGGGUCAUACCAUUCCUACCGUCAGGGAGGGAAGGAGUGAAGUAGCUCUACAAUUUCACUAUCAGCCUUAUAUUAGUGCCUUCCAGAAAUUGAUAAUGAUUCCUAGAGCAGUUUUAAAUACCUUUAUUUUAGAUUUAACCGUAUUUACUGUAUGUGGGCAUUAAGUUUAAUGCAAUACAAUAUAUAUGUGAAAUGUGUUAUAUCUUUAUAUGCGGUAUGCAUCCCUUGCUUCGAAUACAUGGUAUGCUAAUAUUUAUAUUCAUUCAAAAAGUGUUUGGUAGUGAAGAGGUUAAGCGAGUCUUUUCGUAAGGGGAGUGUGUGCACGGUGUGUUUGCUCAGGGGGGGUGUGUGCACAGUGUGUUUGCUCAGGGGGAGUGUGUGCACGGUGUGUUUGCUCAGGGGGAGUGUGUGCGCAGAGUGUUUGCUCAGGGGGAGUGUGUGCGCAGAGUGUUUGCUCAGGGGGAGUGUGUUCGGAGUGUUGGCGCAGGGUGGGCGUGUGUUCGGAGUGUUGGCGCAGGGUGGGCGUGUGUUCGGAGUGUUGGCGCGGGGGGGCGUGUGCGGAGUGUUGGCGCGGGGGGGGCGUGUGCGGAGUGUGGCUACUGGGGAACGUGAAGCGCGGGUGUGUUGGCGCGGGGCGCGUGGGGUGUUGUGCAGGGGAAGCCUUGAGGCUGCGUUGGCUGCGCGGCGCCAGCGCUGGGCGCAGGGCGGCGAGUGUUGGCGCUGGCAGCGGAGUGUUGGCGCUGGGGGCGGGUGGUGCAGAGUGUUGGCGCCGGGGGGAACGUAGGCGCAGGGUGUUGGGGUGGGCGUGUAAGCGGGGUGUUUGUGCAGGGGGAGCGCGGGGUGUUGGCGCGGGUGUUGGCACGGGGGGCGCAUGCGCGGGGUGUUGGCGCGGGGGGCGCGUGCGCGGGGUGUUUGCGCAGGGGGGGCGUGUUGCGGGAGUGUGUACACGGUGUUGUUAUGGAGCUCCCUGUACUCCGACAGAGUACCCUCCGUUGAUGGAUGCUCCUAGCACUUUCUGAAGACUCCAAACACUGCAGCAGACACCACAACCACCGCAGACUCCACAACCGCCGUAGCUUCUGUCCUCCAGGACCGUGUGGGGAAGACCUCUCCUCCAGGAGAGCGUAACAGGCUCUUAAAAGAGCUAAGUGAUUAAAAGCUCAGGGGAAUGUGCAGAGCAUAGCAAUCCCCAGUGUGAUAUAGCAGUUCCCUCCAAUAACGAGACAAAGCUGCGUAUUGAGGGUCAAGAAGAUCUGUUUACUUGGCACCAAAGGGCCUUCUUUUAUGCAGGUUUAACACAUACGGGACCGCCCACAGGGGUUUACAGAACCACCAAUCAUAAACGUACAUUACAGAAACACUCCCAGCAAUUACAUCCAAGAAUCCUCCCCUCUGCCUGUGAUCUAAUUAUGGCACACAGUGCUUAACAUAAUUAUCACAAGCAGGAAAAAUACAGUUUUUAUACAUGUACUAUAUCUUUAAAACUACACAUCCAAUCUUCAUAUUUGGAAUCAGCACACUUUAAAUAUAAACAUAACCAAAAAUCAGCCAAAUCCAUGCAGGGGUUAAAAAGUUAGCUGGAGGUCCCUUUAUUACCGACCGCAAGCACUUUUUCCUGCCCAAAACAGUUCCAUAGAUUUGGGCUGUGCGGCCGGUCUAUUUCAGGCUGAAAAAACGACCAAGUCCCAUCGCCGAAUGUAAAAUCAUUGUGGGAGAAGGUAGGGCUCAGCGGUGUUCGCGGAAAUGUGUGCCGAUUUUAGUUCCAUGAAUUUGGCUACACAUACCGCUGACCUCGUUCGCAUUAACAAAGAUGGCCGCCGCCACGUGUUCGGCAAACGAACAAAGGCCACCCAGCAUUGUUAAUUAAGCUGUGGUUAACUGCAGCUUCUGGGAGGUAAAUUGCCUGCACACUUCCACUUCUGGGUGGUCUGCCUGUGUGGUACUUGGUUCAGUAAGCCCCAUUUACUGAACCAAGUGGGAAAUAGCCAGGCAGGCACAAAGGGUUUGCACCAGGUCUGGGGACACAGAGGACACCGUCUUAAAGGGGCAGUGUCCCAAUCUUCCUGAUGUCCCAAAAGGUGUUUAAAGGGCCAGCACCAGUCCCAUAAAGAGUCCAUAAGCCCCAAUAUGCCCACUGGCUGUCUUAAAGGGCCAUACACACUCAAUAAAGGUGCAUAAGUUCUCACAAUCUCCAAGGGGCCAUAGUCAUGUGGAAGGAGGCUAGCAAAUAGCCUUCUCCACAACCCAGGGAAGCAGGGAAAUUUGCUAUUUAAAGGGCCAGUUACAAAUAGCACUUUGUAACAAGUGUGUUUGCUCAGGGGGAGUGUGUAUGCGGGGUGUCUGUGCAGAGUGGUUGUGCGGGGGGGGGAGGGGGGGUUUUGUGGAGUGUUGGCGCCGGAGAAGUUUAUUUGUGCUGACAGUUGUUGGAUAAUCUCCCAUGUGAUUCACUCCUUUCUGAAUUCUUCCAAUUUAUUUCUUUUUUUCUCUCUCUUCUCCCGGCUUCAUGCUGUUGCUUUUCCAUCCAGGCAUCGCUCAGUCAAAGCUGGAUCUAUUCAGUUGCGUUUGGUAGAUAAGGGGGAACAAUUGGUUGGUUGGGAUCUCAUGUUUGGGGUCCCUGUCCUGUCCUGUCUGGAUUUAUCAAACCUUACCUUAUCUUGGCCUUCUGUCUCCCAUGUCCCAAUACAGACUCUCCCUGGUGGGCAGGUUAGCACUCUCACUCUGCACCUUUCACUCUCCUGGUCUCUAAUCCUUUUAAAAUUUUUAUUUAUUUUUAGAUUGCACUUUUUUAUCCUCUGUCUACAGUCUCUAUGGGGACAACCUUUGUUUUGUCUCGUACUAAAAAUAUAAAACUUCUUGCAGAUUAAAAAAGCUGAAAUGGAUCGGAAGACUCUGGAUUGGGAGAUUGUGGAACUAACCAACAAAUUAUUGGACGCAAAGACCACAAUCAACAAGCUGGAAGAAUUAAAUGUAAAAUGGUCUUCAUAUGUCUUUACAUAUUUUAGGGUGAUAGCGGUAAACUGACAUUGUGUGUUCUCUGCACGUUAGAUGUAAACUAGGAGGUGAUAAUAUCAUUGUAUACAAUGUGGCCCAGUAUUUAUGGGAUAGAAUAUGGUGAGUGGCACAGUGGUCAGCAGGAGAAUGUAGUGAGCAGCCGGUGUUAAUGGGAUAGAAUGUGGCGAGCGGCCCGGUGUGAAUGGGAUAGAAUGUGACGAGCUGGCGGGUGUUAAUGGGAUAGUAUGUGACGAGCUGGCAGGUGUAAAUGGGAUAGAACGUGGCGAGUGGCCCAAUGUUAAUGGGACAGAAUGUGGCGAGUGGCCCAGUGUUAAUGGGAUAAAAUGUGGCGAGUGGCCCGGAGUUAAUGGGAUAGAAUGUGACGAGCUGGCAGGUGUAAGUGGGAUUGAACGUGGCGGGUUGCCUGGUGUUAAUGGGAUAGAAUACGACAAGCGACCCGGUGUUAAUGGGAUAGAAUGUGGCCAGUGGCCGGUGUUAAUGGGAUAGAAUGUGGCCAUUGGCCUGUGUUAAUGGGAUAGAAUGUGG